rnacentral:lncRNA from 1 species
CAGACUCUGAGGUUCUUGACGAUGCAAAGAGACGCCUCGGGUGGAGUGUUGAGAACUCCAAAGGCAAGUGCAAGCUUUUCACUGUGGUAACUUAAUGACUGCUCCGUUUCUUCUUCUUCCAUUUCAGCUAUCCUUGUGUCUGGAACGUACCCGGCCUCCUUCAUCUUCUGGAACAGCCUCCUCAGCUCGUUAUAAGCGUCAUCUCUCCGUGGAUGCGUCUCAUCGAGUGAAUAAAACUCGUUGGUCUGGCCUUUGAUGGUGAUUGUACUCUUUCCAGGUAGCUUCUUUCUGCACUUGAUUCUUAUCUGGUCUCUGAGUUUCAUUUCCGCAGCUCUGUCCCCAGCGCUGGCGUAGAUGUUGGACAGCAUAACAUAAGGUGCUGGAUCUUUUAUGGAGCUCUCGUCCAACUCAAAGAGAUGGUUAGCAACCCGGCCUGCCCGUUUCAAGUCUCGGAAAGUCCGGCAAGCACUGAGUAAGCUCGUCCAUGCUACAGCACCGGCUUUAAAUGGCAUUUUAGUGAUGAGAGUUUCUGCGUCUUUCAGGUAGCCAGCCCGUCCAAGGAGGUCAAUCGCGCACAGAAAGUGUGACUCGUUUGCAGUGACACCAUAGU